rnacentral:rRNA from 1 species
AGAGUUUGAUCCUGGCUCAGAUUGAACGCUGGCGGCAUGCCUUACACAUGCAAGUCGAACGGCAGCGCGGACUUCGGUCUGGCGGCGAGUGGCGAACGGGUGAGUAAUGCAUCGGAACGUACCUUUCAGUGGGGGAUAACGUAGCGAAAGUUACGCUAAUACCGCAUAUUCUGUGAGCAGGAAAGCAGGGGAUCGCAAGACCUUGCGCUGAUGGAGCGGCCGAUGUCAGAUUAGCUAGUUGGUGGGGUAAAGGCUCACCAAGGCGACGAUCUGUAGCGGGUCUUAGAGGAUGACCCGCCACACUGGAACUGAGACACGGUCCAGACUCCUACGGGAGGCAGCAGUGGGGAAUUUUGGACAAUGGGCGCAAGCCUGAUCCAGCCAUGCCGCGUGAGUGAAGAAGGCCUUCGGGUUGUAAAGCUCUUUCGGCCGGGAAAAAAUCGCUUGGGUUAAUACCCUGAGUGGAUGAUGGUACCGGAAUAAGAAGCACCGGCUAACUACGUGCCAGCAGCCGCGGUAAUACGUAGGGUGCGAGCGUUAAUCGGAAUUACUGGGCGUAAAGCGUGCGCAGGCGGUUUUGUAAGACAGGCGUGAAAUCCCCGGGCUCAACCUGGGAACUGCGUUUGUGACUGCAAGGCUAGAGUAUGGCAGAGGGGGGUGGAAUUCCACGUGUAGCAGUGAAAUGCGUAGAGAUGUGGAGGAACACCAAUGGCGAAGGCAGCCCCCUGGGCCAAUACUGACGCUCAUGCACGAAAGCGUGGGGAGCAAACAGGAUUAGAUACCCUGGUAGUCCACGCCCUAAACGAUGUCAACUAGGUGUUGGGUGGGUAAAACCAUUUGGUACCGUAGCUAACGCGUGAAGUUGACCGCCUGGGGAGUACGGCCGCAAGGUUAAAACUCAAAGGAAUUGACGG